UCGAGCGAAGCGAGAGAACGUUGCCGCAGGCAAUGGCCCGAAGGCGAGGCGCUUUAGCGCCGAGUAAUCCUUCCCCCACCACUU
rnacentral:sRNA from 1 species